CGAUCUAACUCGAAAUUAUCUCAGUGGUUCAAUACCAGCAGAUCUAGGAUCUUUGGCCCAUUUGAAUUCCUUAUCUCUAAAUAUAAAUCGACUAUCGGGUCAAAUUCCAAAGGAGCUUGGAAAGCUUGGAAGUUCAAUGCUCACACUGGGUUUUAUUUCAAACAAUCUAUCUGGAGAACUACCACAAGAAUUUGCGAAUUUGAGUAAGCUUCAAAAACUGUAAGUGUUCGAUAACCUUUCUUCAACAUUUUUUAUCAUAC